GCUCUGACUACACCUGCCAGGGGGAAAAACUGGCUGGAGCCGGGCUCUGGCGCCAAGUCCUCUACAACUCGGGAAAUAGGACUAGUGAAAUUCAGCUGUCUAGGGGUGCUCACUGUACCGGAAGAUGAAGCACUAGCCAUAAGGUAGUUCACAUUAACAUAUUAGGUAUCCGUUCAUUCUCAAACGACAACAACAACAAACUUUAUUACAGGAGGGAAUUACCUCCAUAUGGUUUUUCGGGGGGGGGGAAUCUUGUUCUCCCAAGAACGCAUCAUGCUUACAUUAUAUUAAAAAUGUCGAGGGUAAAUUGUAUUUUUUAAAAACAAAGUUUAAUGUGAAAUCUUACAUCAUCGAUAUUUCACCACUCAAUGAAUUAAAAGUUCAAGUCAACCCUUGAGAAUUUCUGUAUCAAACAUAAAAUACGUAUAACAAAAGCUGCUCGCUCAUGUGUAUUCAGUAAAAGAGGCAAGACCUGGUUUAAUUUCUAAGACUUACAAGAGGCCAUGCUUCCAUCCCAAACACCACAAGGAUAAAAUAAAAAAUAAAGUGCAAAGACAGCAGCACAUAGAUAUUCGUUGAGGAGAAGGGUCGCUCCAUCUAAGCAGCAAAACCCAUACCGUUUAAGAUGGUUACCCUGACAGAUGGUUACAGCAUUUCUAUAUUUCUUAAGACUGGAUUGAAAAACCCGAGUGCCUUUAAAUUUAUUUCAGACUUGAAAAUACUUUCUAUGGGCUUCUAAACAUGUGCUUAUCCCAGCAAACCACUCAGCACCUUCAGAACCUUUGCAAACUAAUUUAACCCCUAACCAGUCUCUUGAAUGGGCAGCAUUAUAACAGACUCAGAGAGGCUAGUACCUGCACUGGGAGGUUGUCACUCACAGCUAGCAGCCAGCCUUCAGAACAGAAGCUGCAAAAGUGUGCAAGUUCAGAGUUGCAUUUGUGUUUGUUUGCAUCUUGGUGCUGUUUUCUAAGACAACCAACUUAGUCAUUCCUGCAUGAGUUUGAGGAAGGAAAAUUCAAGGACUAGGGACAUAAUACAAAAUCAUCACUUAGCAGGCAAGAAGAACUAAAAAAAUAAAAAAAUAAAAACAAAGUCUAUGUGAUAGCUAAUUAAUGCCUGUGAUUCCGGAAUCGAACACUUGAGAAGUGGAGGCAGAGAGACAAGAAGUUCAAGAUCACCCUCAAUUACCUUUGGAGUUAGAGGCCAGCCUGGGCUCUCUGGGGGCUGUGUGGGUGGAGUGGGGGAAUUCAACAUAGUACUUUCCAAAACAAAUUGUGUUUACUAUGAAGGGCUGAUUGAAAAGUAUCACUUAACCGAUGGGCCCGGGUGGUCCUGCAUGUGUCUAUGAGGAGUUACAUGUUGAGGUUUUCUUGUGUGUUGUUUCAGAGAUCAAGUCUGGCUUACCAAGGAUUCCAAAAAUCACAGAGAUUUUGCUAGCUCCUGGCCUGCAGUUUCUGGAAUUACUUUUUCUACAAAGAACUCAUACGGAAGCCAAUUUUUCUUUGAUGCGUUAUGUUGUAAAGCAAUGGUGACUCUCUCCUGUUUACAACUGGUAGUGUGCAGCAACAACAGUGACAGUAGUUGAAGCUCCAGGAAACCCUUGGGAAUGGUAGUGCCCUCCUGUCUGGGUGUAGCAAGCGCUGGUGAUGUUCACCACAAGCACCCGGUCAAGUCAGUGUCUGUUCAAUGUCUCCACCUGUAAGUCGUAAUUUCCCCCUUAGUACUUGGACUUUUAUGCUGUUGUCCCGCUCCUCCCCAGACUUCCACUCUCUGUCCUGGACCUGCACUUGACAGAUGACGAGUGUCGGGAAAGACUUGUUUUCUGCUCUGUUAUUCCUGUAUAUUCACGUAUUCCUUAUUUUCAUUUGUUAUUUGUUAUUGGUAAAAGCAUAGACACGUAAGUUAGGUGUUGAACAAUUUGUCGACUUUAAUUGCUACCAUCAGAUGGGGUCUCCUGUUGCUUCAGUUUUGAUCUUCAGAGGACCCUUUGAGCUUUUCCCCUCAUCCUUUGACAGCCAGCCAGUCACCAGACAUUCCAGAUUUGCCCUGUCUCCAGGCACUCAGGGGCAUCUGUUUCUGGAAGAAAGCAUUUGGAAAAGCAGGACUGUGCUCUCGUGGAUCUUGACACAUCACUACUUCUAGACACAUUGAGUUGGCAGAAACAUACGCAUAUCUCAUACCACACCCUUAACGGCAUUUUCCUUUUGCAUGGUUUCAGUUACCAAGGGUCACAGACUAGAAAUUUCAGAUGGACAAUUCUAAAAAUGAGCAACUCAAAGUUUUAAAUAACUUAUUGUAGUAUAUUGUUAUAAUUACUAACUUCUUACAAUGUGUCUUAAUUUGUAAAUUAAACUAUCACUGAAAUGUACGUAUAGGACAAACAGUAAUAUAGAGUUCAGUAUUAUCCUUGGCUUCAGUUGUCCACUGAGGGAUCUUAAGGCAUAUGUCUCAUAUAUAUGGAAUUUUGUAUAUGCAAGUCCAUACACACACAUAUUUAACUAUUCCUAUAUGCAUACCUACAUACAUGUGCACAUAUAUGCCUUGAGUUGAGAAUACAUCCAAUUCCAAGCCCAUCCUGAGCUUCUUUCUAAUUUGCUAAUGUUCAGUGUUAUGCAGUGUUACCAGUUAAUUCAAGGUAUGUGUGUAAGAAUGCAGAAUCCAUUUUCCACAAUGAAAAUCGAGAGACACCACAUAGCCCUCCAUGCCU
ensembl:lncRNA